rnacentral:rRNA from 1 species
AUUGAACGCUGGCGGCAGGCUUAACACAUGCAAGUCGAACGGGUGUAGCAAUACAUCAGUGGCGGACGGGUGAGUAACACGUGGGAACGUGCCCUUUGGUUCGGAACAACUCAGGGAAACUUGAGCUAAUACCGGAUGUGCCCUUCGGGGGAAAGAUUUAUCGCCAUUGGAGCGGCCCGCGUCUGAUUAGCUAGUUGGUGAGGUAAAGGCUCACCAAGGCGACGAUCAGUAGCUGGUCUGAGAGGAUGAUCAGCCACAUUGGGACCGAGACACGGCCCAAACUCCUACGGGAGGCAGUAGUGGGGAACCUUGCGCAAUGGGCGAAAGCCUGACGCAGCCAUGCCGCGUGAAUGAUGAAGGUCUUAGGAUUGUAAAAUUCUUUCACCGGGGACGAUAAUGACGGUACCCGGAGAAGAAGCCCCGGCUAACUUCGUGCCAGCCGCCGCAGUAAUAC